ensembl:lncRNA
UAACAUGUUCAUCAUCAUUGCAACAACACCAAACUUAUUUUUUAUUUCCUCUUCUGCCUGAAGAUCAUUCAGGCUGAUUGCUGCAGAAAAACAGAUCUGUUCAUAGUUUAUCCAAAGAGAAAAGAUGGAAGCUGUAGUUGUUCUGCUGCUGAUGGUACUCAGAAUUUCUAACGGUGUAGAAACCUCCUGUGAUGGACGACAGGAUAAAACUCAGUGUUAUGGAGCUCUGGGAGGAACUCUGGUCCUGCAGUUGAUGGACAAAGUCCCAGAGAUACUGACAUUCAAAUGGGGGAACUCAACAGGAACGAUUCUGAAUCGGAUUAGAAACGGGUCUGUGACGAAUACAUUAUCAAACAGGUCAGAGUUUAUUUCCCAUAAUGGAACACUGAGGAUGAACAGCCUGAACAGAACUGAUGGUGGUGAAUAUAAACUUGAAAUAUUUAAAGAGGAUGGAGUGAGAACAGCAGUACGGACUCUACAGUUGAACAUCCAAGGUACGUUUGACUGAGAGCUUUGAUUAAAUCUUCCUGUCAUAUUCUAACUCUUAUAUAACACAGGAUUCAUGUUCUGCUGUGUAGAGAGCUGAUCAUUUUCUGUUCUAAUCAAAGUUCAUGUGUUUCAGCUCCUGUGUCGACUGUCCGGCUGACGUCUGAGUGUCUGUCCCAGGGAGAGAAGAGGAUGUCCUGCUCCUCUGUUGGAGACAGUCCUCAGUACAGCUGGACUCUGGAUGGAGACACACUGACAGAUGAUCAGGUCCUCUCUGGGAAUAAUGAGACUAAUGAGAUCAUUCUGAAACAAACAGUGUCAGGACGGCUGGUGUGUUUAGUCAGGAAUCACGUCAGUGAAGCCUCAGUAACAGAGAUGAUUUCAACCUGUGGUGUAGAAACCUCCUGUGAUGGCCGGCAGGAUAAAACUCAGUGUUAUGGAGCUCUGGGAGGAACUCUGGUCCUGCAGUUGAUGGACAAAGUCCCAGAGAUACUGACAUUCAAAUGGUGGAACUCAAAAGGAAUGAUUCUGAUUCAGAUUAGAAACAGGCCUGUGAUGAAUAGAUUAUCAACCCGGUUAGAGUUUAUUUCCCAUAAUGGAACAUUGAGGAUAAACAGCCUGAGGAGAACUGAUGGUGGAGAAUAUAAACUUGAAAUAUUUAAUGAGGAUGGAGAGAGAACAGCAGUACGGACUCAACAGUUGAACAUCCAAGCUCCUGUGUCGACUGUCCGGCUGACGUCUGAGUGUCUGUCCCAGGGAGAGAAGAGGAUGUCCUGCUCCUCUGAUGGAGACAGUCCUCAGUACAGCUGGACUCUGGAUGGAGACACACUGACAGAUGAUCAGCUCCUCUCUGGGAAUAAUGAGACUAAUGAGAUCAUUCUGAAACAAACAGUGUCAGGACGGCUGGUGUGUUUAGUCAGGAAUCACGUCAGUGAAGCCUCAGUAACAGAGAUGAUUUCAACCUGUGGCUACAUUUUCAUUGAGUGUCAAUUAUCAAAUGGGACAAACAUAACACAGUGGGUGUUUGCAGCAAAUAACACACUGUGUAUUAAACCAACAACCACAACAACAACAACAACAACCAUAACUACAGAGAAUGUUGGUAAGGAGAGUGACAUCACAGUGUCUAAUAACCCCUCCACUAAAAUAACACCCUCCAAUCAAACAUCCUCCAAUACAGAUGGUCCAUUGUACCUUCGACCUACAACCCUGAUGGUAACUGGAAUUGUACUCUCUUUGCUGCUCAUCGGCUUGAUGGCCGCUUUUGUGAUGGUCUGUGCUCAUAAGAGAAGAGAAAGCAGCAAUGCUAGAGGAGGAAAUGAUCAAGAGUUACAGUAUGCUGACGUCAAGAGGCAGCAGCCGAGCAGAGACGUGCAACCGCAGGCAGAAAUGGGAGGAUAUGGCCAGAUCACCUUUUCAGCGCAGACCGACAAGCCACCCGCAGGUCGCGGUGCUGUCCAGAGGGGGCAAGAGGUGGAAUAUGGAGAGAUCAAGUUUGCAGAGCGGCCUCAGCAGAAAAACAGACUGAUGGGACCCUCUGGAUCCCCUCAGGGGGCGCCACAGGUGGAAUAUGGAGAGAUCAAGUUCAUCGAACGGCCCCGGAGGGCCAGGUGA